rnacentral:lncRNA from 1 species
CUAAAAAAGAACAAACCUGAAAUAAAUUGUUGGCUUUUACCCAUCUACAGAAUUCACUCGUAUCUCUUUUAGGAUAAAGAAAAGCACUGAAGCAGUUCUUAAUAGUAAAUUUUAUGAUUUUGUUAUUGAAUUUAUACGUUUUUCUGGUGUUAAGUGUCAUAAAGAGAAGGGAUUAAGAAAGGUGUUUUCUCAAAGAAACAUGAUACGGUGCUUUACUUUCUUAGGGUCAUUACUGUAUAAUGCUAUUCUUAACCAGUAAUGUAGUCUGUUUCAGAGUUAUUGAAGGAACAGUAUGCCACGUAAUACUGAAGGUAUUGUUUUCUUUUCAGGUUGACAUCAUUGUGUUGCAUAAAGAAAAAUUUUCUAGGGAGAUGCAAGCCUAGAUUUUCACAUAUAAUAAUAUGGCAUGGAUCUAAUAAAUUACCUGGAACUGGGUACUCAAUUCUGCUCUUCGACCAGCAAAGGAUGUUACAGUGCUAUGCAUUUGCAGGUCUUAGCUGGAGUCUGCAGAGACAGACAAAAGUGCCAACAUACAAAACAACAACAAAACAACAAUAAUAAUAAUAAUAAACAACUGCUAUUUCUGAACUGCCUGAAAUUUGGAAGAACUGUAAGUCUUGUGAGACUUGUCUCAGAAGGCUUAUCUGCCACAACAAAAAGAAAAAGGAGGCAAGGCACUAUUAUGGUCAAAUGCCAUAAAAACAUCAAUAAUAAGAGGUUUUUCAGUGCUAUUUGA